GCGCUAGUGGUGUAAGGCGUAGCAUCGCUGCCCGGAAAGCAGAAGGAGCGGGUUCGAGUCUUGCCUGGCGCA
rnacentral:tRNA from 1 species